UACGAACCGUCCAAACGUUAUUCGGAAUCAUUGGGCUUAAAGGGCGCGUAGGCGGCCCGCCGCGUCCGGGGUGAAAUCCUCCCGCUCAACGGGAGGACGGCCUCGGAUACGGGCGGGCUGGAGGGGGGUAGGGGCACGCGGGAACUGUGGGUGGAGCGGUGAAAUGCGUUGAGAUCCACAGGAACUCCGGUGGCGAAGGCGGCGUGCUGGACCCCACCUGACGCUGAGGCGCGAAAGCCAGGGGAGCGAACGGGG
rnacentral:rRNA from 1 species